UAUUAUUAGUGAGCUUAAGCAAGUGACGUUUUUGACAACACGGACGGCAUGACGUGUUGUCAAAAACGUCACUUGCUUAAGCUCACUAUUAUCA